rnacentral:rRNA from 1 species
GGGCGUAGAGGGCUCGCAGGCGGUUUCUUAAGUCUGAUGUGAAAGCCCCCGGCUCAACCGGGGAGGGUCAUUGGAAACUGGGGAACUUGAGUGCAGAAGAGGAGAGUGGAAUUCCACGUGUAGCGGUGAAAUGCGUAGAGAUGUGGAGGAACACCAGUGGCGAAGGCGACUCUCUGGUCUGUAACUGACGCUGAGGAGCGAAAGCGUGGGGAGCGAACAGGAUUAGAUACCCUGGUAGUCCACGCCGUAAACGAUGAGUGCUAAGUGUUAGGGGGUUUCCGCCCCUUAGUGCUGCAGCUAACGCAUUAAGCACUCCGCCUGGGGAGUACGGUCGCAAGACUGAAACUCAAAGGAAUUGACGGGGGCCCGCACAAGCGGUGGAGCAUGUGGUUUAAUUCGAAGCAACGCGAAGAACCUUACCAGGUCUUGACAUCCUCUGACAAUCCUAGAGAUAGGACGUCCCCUUCGGGGGCAGAGUGACAGGUGGUGCAUGGUUGUCGUCAGCUCGUGUCGUGAGAUGUUGGGUUAAGUCCCGCAACGAGCGCAACCCUUGAUCUUAGUUGCCAGCAUUCAGUUGGGCACUCUAAGGUGACUGCCGGUGACAAACCGGAGGAAGGUGGGGAUGACGUCAAAUCAUCAUGCCUCUUAUGACCUGGGCUACACACGUGCUACAAU